UACGUAGGGUGCUAGCGUUGUUCGGAAUUAUUGGGCGUGAAGCGCUCGUAGGUGGCCUGUCGCGUCGGCUGUGAAAACUCGGGGCUCAACUCCGAGCUUGCAGUCGAUACGGGCAGGCUAGAGUUCGGCAGGGGAGACUGGAAUUCCUGGUGUAGCGGUGAAAUGCGCAGAUAUCAGGAGGAACACCGGUGGCGAAGGCGGGUCUCUGGGCCGAUACUGACACUGAGGAGCGAAAGCGUGGGGAGCGAACAGG
rnacentral:rRNA from 1 species